GGAAGUGAACCAUCUCAGUACCCGAAGGAAGAGAAAACAACCGUGAUUCCGAAAGUAGUGGCGAGCGAAAUCGGAAGAGCCUAAACCAGGCGAUUCGCAAGGAGAGCCUGGGGUUGCAGGGCCACAAUAAUCAACUGUCCUUUCUCGAAAGGGAGAGCGCAGUUGGUUAAAACAAGGGAUAGAAGAGCGUUAAUCGAACGGUCUGGAAAGGCCGGCCAAAGAGCGUGACAGCCGCGUAGGUGAAAAUGCAAUUCUCCUUUCAGUGGUACCUAAGUAGGGCGGGGCACGAGAAACCCUGCUUGAAUCUGCCGGGACCAUCCGGUAAGGCUAAAUACUCACUUGCGACCGAUAGUGAACCAGUACCGUGAGGGAAAGGUGAAAAGAACCCCUGCGAGGGGAGUGAAAUAGUACCUGAAACCACACGCUUACAAGCAGUUGGAGGGCUAUGCUCCGCAAGGAGAAUGCCUGACAUCGUGCCUAUUGCAUAAUGAGCUGGCUAGUUAUUCUCAGUGGCAAGGUUAACCGAAAGGGAGCCGAAGCGAAAGCGAGUCUGAAGAGGGCGAUGGAGUCGCUGGGAAUAGACGCGAAGCGGGAUGAUCUACCCUUGGCCAGGAUGAAGUCCGUGUAACAGCGGAUGGAGGUCCGAACCAGUGUUGGUUGAAAACAGCUUGGAUGAGCUGAGGGUAGGGGUGAAAGGCUAAUCAAAUUCCGUGAUAGCUCGUUCUCUCCGAAAUAGCUUUAGGGCUAGCCUCUCGUGGUCCGUCGCGGUGGUAGAAAACUGAUUGGACUAGGGGCCUUCCCAGGUUACCGAAUCCAACCAAACUGUGAAUGCCGUGAAUGUGUAGCGAGGGAGUCAGACAGUGGGGGCUAAGCUUCAUUGUCGAAAGGGAAACAGCCCAGACCGUCAACUAAGGUCCCCAAAUCCAUGCUCAGUGGGAAAGGAAGUCGGGACGCUCAGACAGCCAGGAGGUUGGCUUAGAAGCAGCCAUCCUUUAAAGAAAGCGUAACAGCUCACUGGUCGAGCGGCUCGGCGCCGACAAUAUAACGGGGCUCAAGCAUGGUACCGAAGUUACGGAAUCGUUCUUCGGAACGAUUGGUAGGAGAGCGUUCUCAACCGCAGUGAAGGUCUAGCGAAAGCAGGGCUGGAGCGUUGAGAAGUGACUCUGCCAGCAUAAGUAGCGAGAAACCAGGUGCGAACCCUGGUCGCCGUAAGUCUAAGGAUUCCUGAGAAAGGUUAAUCCGCUCAGGGUUAGUCGGAGCCUAACGCGAGGCCGAAGGCGUAGCGGAUGGACAGCAGGUUAAUAUUCCAGCACUACCUUGUUUCGAUCAAGACCGAAGGGGGGACGCGGACCGUAAGCUCUGGUGCGCAAUGGUUACAAUCCAGAGUGAAGGGAGAUCCGGACAGGCAAAUCCGCCGGAUCGUCCGCCAGGAAAAGCCUCUAAGGAGAAGCAAGGUAUCCGUACCACAAACCGACACAGGUGGACGAGAAGAAUAUUCUAAGGCGCUCGGGUGAUGGUUUGUUCAGGAACUAGGCACAUUAGCUCCGUAACUUCGGGAGAAGGAGUGCCCACCUAAGACGUGGGCCGCAGUGAAUCGUCUCAGGCGACUGUUUAACAAAAACACAGGUCUCUGCAAAGUCGAAAACGACGUAUAGGGGCUGACGCCUGCCCGGUGCCGGAAGGUUAAAGGGAGAGGUCAGGGUUUUCGUAAGAGAGCCCGAAGCUUUGAACUGAAGCCCCGGUGAACGGCGGCCGUAACUAUAACGGUCCUAAGGUAGCGAAAUUCCUUGUC
rnacentral:rRNA from 1 species